rnacentral:snoRNA from 1 species
CUGGCUUCUCGUAUAGUUUGGCUGCCAGAGUAAUACUAGUUAUCCUGGUAGCAUUCUUUGAUUGGGAAGCAACACAAAAAUGUUCCCCUCGCUAUCCACUUGCGCAUGUGAUUUGCAUUUUGGACGUUGGGGAUCUACAUUC